rnacentral:lncRNA from 1 species
AAAAGAAAGAUCACCUAAUAAUGAUGUAUUUUGCAUUAUGUUUGCAGAGACUGUGAAUACAACAAUACCGUUUUCCUUCAGGGGAAUACUAUUUCUUAAGGGCCGAUACAGAUGUGUUGCAGAAGCCAUUGCUGGGCAUACUGAAGAAAAACUCUUUUGUUUGAAUUUUACCAUCACACACCACCCUCGUCUCAAUUAGAAUAAAUUGAGUAUAUUUUUAUUUUUCAAA